rnacentral:rRNA from 1 species
UACGAAGGGGGCUAGCGUUGUUCGGAAUCACUGGGCGUAAAGGGCGCGUAGGCGGCUUUAUAAGUCGGGGGUGAAAGCCUGUGGCUCAACCACAGAAUUGCCUUCGAUACUGUAGAGCUUGAGACCGGAAGAGGUAAGUGGAACUGCGAGUGUAGAGGUGAAAUGCGUAGAUAUCGGGAGGAACACCAGUGGCGAAGGCGACUACCUGGCCUGUUCUUGACGCUGAGGCGCGAAAGCUAGGGGAGCAAACAGG